AGGAUAAACGCUGGCGGCGUGCAUGAGACAUGCAAGUCAAACGGACGAUCGGGGUUCGCUCUGAUCGUUAGUGGCGGACGGCUGAGUAACGCGUAGGUGACCUGCCCCGAAGUGGGGAAUAACUGCCCGAAAGGGUGGCUAAUACCGCAUGUGGUGGUGCGUUCGAUCGCACCAGUAAAGCCGCAAGGCGCUUCGGGAGGGGCCCGCGUCCGAUUAGCUCGUUGGUGAGGUAACGGCUCACCAAGGCGACGAUCGGUAGGUGGUCUGAGAGGACGAUCACCCAGACUGGGACUGAGACACGGCCCAGACUCCUACGGGAGGCAGCAGUCGGGAAUUUUGCGCAAUGGACGAAAGUCUGACGCAGCAACGCCGCGUGAGGAUGAAGGCCUUCGGGUUGUAACCUCUUUUCCAGGGAAGAUAAUGACGGUACCUGGCGAAUAAGUCACGGCUAACUACGUGCCAGCAGCCGC
rnacentral:rRNA from 1 species